rnacentral:rRNA from 1 species
UGGGGAAUAUUGCACAAUGGGCGAAAGCCUGAUGCAGCAACGCCGCGUGAGUGAUGAAGGUCUUCGGAUUGNAAAGCUCUGUCUUUUGGGACGAUAAUGACGGUACCAAAGGAGGAAGCCACGGCUAACUACGUGCCAGCAGCCGCGGUAAUACGUAGGUGGCGAGCGUUGUCCGGAUUUACUGGGCGUAAAGGGUGCGUAGGCGGAUGUUUAAGUGAGAUGUGAAAUACCCGGGCUUAACUUGGGGU